AGCGAACGCUGGCGGCAGGCUUAACACAUGCAAGUCGAGCGCCCCGCAAGGGGAGCGGCAGACGGGAGAGUAACACGUGGGAACGUACCUUUCAGUUCGGAACAACCCAGGGAAACUUGGGCUAAUACCGAAUACGCCCGUAAGGGGAAAGAUUUAUCGCUGAAAGAUCGGCCCGCGUCUGAUUAGCUAGUUGGUGAGGUAAUGGCUCACCAAGGCGACGAUCAGUAGCUGGUCNGAGAGGAUGAUCAGCCUCAUUGGGACUGAGACACGGCCCAAACUCCUACGGGAGGCAGCAGUGGGGAAUAUUGGACAAUGGGCGCAAGCCUGAUCCAGCCAUGCCGCGUGGGUGAUGAAGGCCCUAGGGUUGUAAAGCUCUUUCAGCGGGGAAGAUAAUGACGGUACCCGCAGAAGAAG
rnacentral:rRNA from 1 species